GGUGGCACAUCCCGACCUCCCCCAGCUUCUCCUCACCAUGGGCGUCCCCGUGGCCACCACCCUCCUCCUCCUCCUGGCCGCCCUCCCAGGGCUGCGGGCGGCCGUGCAGCUGGUGGAGUCCGGGGGGGGUCUCCAGACCCCCGGGGGGUCCCUGCGCCUCGUCUGCAAGGGCUCCGGCUUCGCCUUCGGCAGCUUCGGCAUGGGAUGGAUGCGGCAGGCGCCCGGGAAGGGGCUCGAGUACGUCGCGAGUAUCAACAGCGGUGGUGGCACCUACUACGCGCCGUCGGUCAAGGGGCGCUUCACCAUCUCCAGGGACAACGGCCAGAGCACGGUCACGCUGCAGAUGAGCAGCCUCAGGGACGACGACACGGCCACCUACUACUGCGCCAAAGGUGCUGGUGCGCUGUGUAAUGCUGGUGGUAUCGACGCGUGGGGCAGCGGCGUCGUCGUCACCGUCUCCUCCGGACGCUGA